GACGAACGCUGGCGGCGUGCUUAACACAUGCAAGUCGAACGGAAAGGCCCUGCUUUUGUGGGGUGCUCGAGUGGCGAACGGGUGAGUAACACGUGAGUAACCUGCCCUUGACUUUGGGAUAACUUCAGGAAACUGGGGCUAAUACCGGAUAGGAGCUCCUGCUGCAUGGUGGGGGUUGGAAAGUUUCGGCGGUUGGGGAUGGACUCGCGGCUUAUCAGCUUGUUGGUGGGGUAGUGGCUUACCAAGGCUUUGACGGGUAGCCGGCCUGAGAGGGUGACCGGCCACAUUGGGACUGAGAUACGGCCCAGACUCCUACGGGAGGCAGCAGUGGGGAAUGUUGCACAAUGGGCGGAAGCCUGAUGCAGCAACGCCGCGUGCGGGAUGACGGCCUUCGGGUUGUAAACCGCUUUCGCCUGUGACGAAGCGUGAGUAACGGUAAUGGGUAAAGAAGCACCGGCUAACUACGUG
rnacentral:rRNA from 1 species